rnacentral:rRNA from 1 species
CCGGCCUGAGAGGGCGACCGGCCACACUGGGACUGAGACACGGCCCAGACUCCUACGGGAGGCAGCAGUGGGGAAUAUUGCACAAUGGGCGAAAGCCUGAUGCAGCGACGCCGCGUGAGGGAUGACGGCCUUCGGGUUGUAAACCUCUUUCAGCAGGGAAGAAGCGAAAGUGACGGUACCUGCAGAAGAAGCGCCGGCUAACUACGUGCCAGCAGCCGCGGUAAUACGUAGGGCGCAAGCGUUGUCCGGAAUUAUUGGGCGUAAAGAGCUCGUAGGCGGCUUGUCACGUCGGUUGUGAAAGCCCGGGGCUUAACCCCGGGUCUGCAGUCGAUACGGGCAGGCUAGAGUGUGGUAGGGGAGAUCGGAAUUCCUGGUGUAGCGGUGAAAUGCGCAGAUAUCAGGAGGAACACCGGUGGCGAAGGCGGAUCUCUGGGCCAUUACUGACGCUGAGGAGCGAAAGCGUGGGGAGCGAACAGGAUUAGAUACCCUGGUAGUCCACGCCGUAAACGGUGGGAACUAGGUGUUGGCGACAUUCC